UUGAUACCCCCUUCGUCCGGAAAUACUUGUUGGAGAAAUGGAUGUAUCUAGACGUAUUUUAGUUCUAGAUACAUCCAUUUUUAUUCAUUUCCCUGACAAGUAUUUUCAGACGGAGGGAGUAUAUG
rfam:Triticum aestivum genome assembly, contig: Triticum_aestivum_CS42_TGACv1_scaffold_329695_4BS